rnacentral:tRNA from 1 species
GCAAUGGUGCUCCAGUGGUUGAAUUCUCGCCUUCCAUGUGAGAGACUUGGGUUUGAUUCCUAGCCAAUGCA